rnacentral:rRNA from 1 species
AACACGGGGAAACUCACCAGGUCCAGACACAUUAAGGAUUGACAGAUUGAGAGCUCUUUCUUGAUUAUGUGGGUGGUGGUGCAUGGCCGUUCUUAGUUGGUGGAGUGAUUUGUCUGCUUAAUUGCGAUAACGAACGAGACCUUAACCUGCUAAAUAGCCAGGCUAGCUUUUGCUGGUCGCCGGCUUCUUAGAGGGACUAUCGGCUCAAGCCGAUGGAAGUUUGAGGCAAUAACAGGUCUGUGAUGCCCUUAGAUGUUCUGGGCCGCACGCGCGCUACACUGACAGAGCCAACGAGUAUAAACCUUAACCGAGAGGUUUGGGUAAUCUUGUUAAACUCUGUCGUGCUGGGGAUAGGGCAUUGCAAUUAUUGCCCUUCAACGAGGAAUAUCUAGUAAGCGCAAGUCAUCAGCUUGCGUUGAUUACGUCCCUGCCCUUUGUACACACCGCCCGUCGCUACUACCGAUUGAAUGGCUCAGUGAGGCCUUCGGACUGGCUCCAGG